rnacentral:rRNA from 1 species
AACGAACGCUGGCGGCAUGCCUAACACAUGCAAGUCGAACGAGACCUUCGGGUCUAGUGGCGCACGGGUGCGUAACGCGUGGGAACCUGCCCUUAGGUUCGGAAUAACUCCCCGAAAGGGGUGCUAAUACCGGAUAAUGUCUUCGGACCAAAGAUUUAUCGCCUUUGGAUGGGCCCGCGUUGGAUUAGCUAGUUGGUAGGGUAAAAGCCUACCAAGGCGACGAUCCAUAGCUGGUCUGAGAGGAUGAUCAGCCACACUGGGACUGAGACACGGCCCAGACUCCUGCGGGAGGCAGCAGUGGGGAAUAUUGGACAAUGGGCGAAAGCCUGAUCCAGCAAUGCCGCGUGAGUGAUGAAGGCCUUAGGGUUGUAAAGCUCUUUUACCCGGGAUGAUAAUGACAGUACCGGGAGAAGAAGCUCCGGCUAACUCCGU